ensembl:lncRNA
AUAAUCACACACAUACUCUCAUGUUGUAGCUCAUGGCUUAAAUCAACAACCUUAAUCUUCACAUCUACUUCCGAUGCUAAAUAUUGGAUAAACUCCACCAUUCGUGGUGAAUCGUGCUUUUUUUUAAUUCAUAGAUUUGUAUUGAAUGAAUCUGUAUUUGCAGGAGCCUCCACAGUGAGUGAAAAACAGAGAGGAAUCGCCACACUGCCAUGUAAAUAUGAGGCCAAAGACAUUUCAGAUAUACGCUUUAUACGACAAGGAAAACCUGUACACUUUUCUGUUUGUGAAGAAUAUAAAAGAGGAAGUGGCCGAAUCUGUCAAAAAGGAGCAUGUGACAUCAUCAUCCAGAAUCUGAGCUUCAGUGACGCUGGGAAAUACAUUUUUAGAUUCAAUUACAAAAGUGCUCCGAUGGAUCAGACGUACCAACUUCAUGUUCAUGAUGAGAUGUGUGUGAAGAUCGGUGAGCAGCUGAAGUUAGAUGUUCUGUCGUCAGAAGCUGAUGAAGUGCAGCAUCAGAGCAGAAGAAGCACCGAGUGGAAAGAUGUUUGGACGAGAGGCCAUGGUGUUCAGAAUCAGCUCCUGAAUGAUAGAGAUGGAAACCUGAUCAUCAAUAACUUUACAGCCAGUGAUUCAGGAAAAUACAGAGUUCUGGGGUCUGAAGGAGAACGCUUGAUCACAGUGACUGUUAGAGAAUCUAAAGGAUCUUGCUCAGGUGAAAAACUCAGUAGUGAUGCUGCACAACACAGGCACUGGAUUGGACCGGCUGGGUUUGUUUGGGUGGUUCUUUGCCUUUUUUAAAAGAAGAACGAUACACUGGUGUCUAGAGGGAGGUCUGAGUAGGUCCUACAUGUGCUACAUCUGCCAUAUUGUAACGUGACCCGUCCUAAAAGUAGUAGAACGUCCAGGUAAUUUCUGACAGCUGUUUUAUAAGUAUUACAAGAUUUUAUUGCCAUCUGAAUCCAGAAUGUCAGUGUGUUUCUCCCACCACCCGUAUAGUUCCCCGACCGAAUUACCUACUGUUUUUUUAACAAACAAAAAGGUCAUGUGGUAAUUUCACUGCAUUUUUUUUGGCAGCAGUAAACAUCUACACUUUUAUUACUGAAAGAUAUAUAACAUAUUAUUGCACCAAAGGGCAUGUUAUGCAAUUUUUGAUGUUUGUAUGUAUGCAUGUAUUUAUUUAUUUAUUUAUUUAUUUAUUUAUUUAUUCAUUCAUUUUCAUGGACAUGUUAUAUAAUCUCUUUGACCCUAAUGUAAAUGACCCCUUUGACCCUCAAAUGGAACAUCAGUGUCUUUAAUGUCAGUGUAAGUCCCUCGAUUGUCCACCAGAGGUCUCACUCACCAGAGGAUUGACUAUUGGACUACAGUUCCCAGCAAGCCUCACACCUGGACUAAUUUCUGCUCACCUGAUACUUGCACACAGAUUAUUUAAAAACCGUGUUUUUGUUCUUCUUGAAGUCUUUUUUAUUGUGUAUCGACACAGCUCUAGCUGCCUGCCCUGGUCUGUUGUUUGCUGUGUUUGUUAGGCUUUACUGCCUAAACCACAUGGAUUCAGCCAGAGUCUGUGUUACAAUCAGACUGAAACGAUUAGGGAUCUUGUCUAAAAUAAGACAACUCAUAUGUGGAAUCUAUCAGCUAGGAGCUGCACAAUGUUUGACAUAUUUUACAUUGUUAUUGUCAGUUACGUAGACAAACUGAUUAAUACUAUUGUUUUUAUAGUGUUUAGAAUUAUCCCUUAUUACGAAAAUAAAUAAAUAAUUGUACAAUCUUUACUGUGUGCGCCAAACUUGUCAUUUCCUAAAAAUCACACUGUAUAAAUCUAAACAGUUUUCUCAUAUUACAAAAUAAAUGAGAGCAUGUGAAUUUUUAAAAACUGUUUUUAACUUAUUUUUGCACUAACUGCAAAUUAUAUGAAUAGUAUUUUUAGUAUUUUUUAUUUUUUU